CUGCUGCCUCGCCUGUGCCCUCGCCCUGGAGUGGUGAAGGUCCAGACUGGGAAACGGAAGUCGUUACUAUGUUAGAAAGGGCAAAAAGCAAAACGAGGAAGGGGAAGCACGAGGAGGGAGGAGGUGUGGCAGCUCCAGAGCCCAGGAGUGCAGCCCCCCAGAGACUAGGGCUACCCCUCUACCGUUUCGGGAUGUGCAGGAGGGGGCCCCUCUACCAUCUGGGGCUGGGCAGGAAGGGCCCCCUUCCCACCGUCUCGGACUGUGCAGGAGGGGGCCCCUCUAUCUUCUGGGGCUGUGCAGGAGGGGGCCCCUCUAUCUUCUGGGCCUGUGCAGGAGGGGCCCCUCCACUGUCUCAGGCUGUGCAGGAGAGGGCCCCUCUGCCGUCUGGGGCUGUGCAAGCAGUGAGCAAGCUGCCGCCUCCUUGGGAGCUGGGAUCCCAGACGGGAUUCAGCCAUUUUCAGAGACGUUCCCAGAAACGAGAAUGCGAGAUCAAUUCCUCGCCUGGCAUCUCCCACCAGCGCCAUCGCUGCAGCAGCCUCACUGGAAGCCAACAGGCAGAGGAGAGUGGGAAAGGAGCUUGCAGCCUCCCAGCACCAGUGAUGCAGAGCAGAAGGUGGCUGGGAGGCUGAGAAGCCAUAAGAAAAUAGCAGGGCCAGCCCAUGUGGCCGCUCAGAUACGUGCUAUGUGUGUCUUUGCAUAUGUAGGGGCUGAAAAACUCCACCUCCAGCCAUUUGAGGUCCUGGCUGGGCCCAAGAGUGAAAUCAAGAUAAGACAGAUCAUCAUGCCAGUGUAUUUGAUUCAAGUUGGAUGUAGCUCGGGAGCCCUCCUAAGGAAAUGAAGACCCGGUGAAGCGGACUCAGUCACUCGUGUGCUGAGUUGGACAGAGAACAGUGAGGUUUGAGGAAGCAGCUAGAUGAUGUGGGGGGCUGAAAAGGUGAGAGGCAUUUUAUCAAGGACUGUACAGCAUUUGCUGGGUCUCGUCUUCUCAUCCUUGAGGAUCAGAGCUUUCUAGUGUAGGGAGAGCAUCUUUCACCUGGGAAUUUCAUCUUCUGCUUUUAAGAAACACAAGAGAGAUCAGAAUGAUCUUUUUGCACCUGUUAUUUUUUUAACUGCCUUUAAUUCCUAAUACUGACUGUGCCAGAGCAGCCUAUUUUGGGGUGGCACCUUAACUCUGCAUACUGUACAUAUCUGGCACACGUCAUUUAAAGUAAAUAGACAGGCUUGCUUACUUUUUACUCAGGUGCAACAUAAUUCAGAAAAGUGCAGACAUGCUCAGUAGACAGCUCCUUCUACACGGUUGUCGACUUCCCUUCAUCAAUGACGUAUUGGUCGGCUCUUGCUAGGCUGUGUUGCCAAAACAACUCACAAGCCUGGGUUGAUCACAGCAACCAAGUUUCCCCUCCCACUCAGGUUUCUUGUCGGCCACGGGGUGGCUCAGCUUCUGAUGCCUCCUUCAUUCUGGGGUCCAGGCUGAGCAAGCUGUGGCUCUCUGGAACAUGCCGUUCUCCUGACCAAGGGAGGACGUGGAAGAGAGAUGGAGAAACCAUGCCACACUCUCCCAGCGGCCAUACACAGCUGGGAUGUGUCGCUUGCACUCCCACGCCACUGGCCAGAACAAGUCAUGUGGCCAAGGAGGGGCAGGGAAGAGCACUUCCUCCUCCAGAUGGUGCCAGCUCUGGGCCUAGGUUUUAGCUUUUCUUACAAGGGAAGAGCUGGCCCGUUACUGCGUCAGGGAUGCUGACAGAAGACAUGAGACUCCAGGUCAGAGACAAAGGACUUUGUCAUUCAUGGUCUAAGCCCUACACCCAGUGUGACUAUGUUUGGAGAUGGGGCCCUCAAAGAGCUGAUUAAGGUGAAGAGACAUAAUGAUGGCCAGCGCUACACAGGAGGAAUGGUGUCCUUAUAGGAAGAGGAGGCGCCAGUGUCCUGGGGGCAGAGGGACCACCCUGUGAGGACAAAGGGAGCAGGGCCUCCUCUGUCGGCCAGACUGGAGUGCAGUGGUGUGAUCAUGGCUCUCUGCAGCCGUGACCGCCGGGGCUCACGGGCUCAACUGAUCCUCCCUCCUCAGCCUCCCAAGUAAGUGGGACUCCAGGUGUGCGCCACCAGGCCUGGCUAAUUUUUGUCUGUUUUGGAGAGAUGAGGUUUUGCCUGUGCACAGGCUGGUCUGGAACUCCUGGGUGGAUGCGAUCCUCUUGCCUCAGUCUCCCAAAGUGCUGGGAUUACAGGUGUGAGCCACCACACCUGGCCUAAUUCUACUGUUAUCGGCUGAACUGGAUGCCUCCAGAAUUCACGCUAAGAAUGGGAAGGGAUGAAGAGAUUGGACUGUAAAGAGGUGACUGGCUGAAUGAGGCCAUAUGGGUGGGCCCUGAUCCAGAAUGACUGGAGUCCUCCUCAGAGGAGGAAGUUUGGACAGAGACACGUCAGGGAACUGCACGCACAGAGAAGAGACUGCGUGAGGACACGCGGAAAGACACCAUCUGCAGACCACAGCCGAGCUCCCAGGGAGCGAAACCUGCUGCCACCCUCAUGCCAGCUUCCAGCCUCCAGGCCUGAGACAGCAUUUCCAUCGGGGAAGCCAGCCAGACCACGGCGUCCUGUGACGGCCACCCAGGGGGACUGGUGUGCCUACAAGCACGUUAUUCAUUUCAGGCCUGGCUCUUUGUUUUGUCCUUCGUUUCUCACACCAGGCUUACAUUUUCCUUUAGAGGACGUUGUGAUUGUCAUUUCAGGGUCCACGUCUGACAGUUCCACCAUGGCUGCCCUUCUGGGCCUGUUGCUGCUGACUCACGUUCCCACGGCCACCUUUCCCUGCAUCUGGGCAUAGCAGCAAUUUCUCACUGGAUGCGGGCAUUGUGCUGUGAUGGCUUUGAUCACCUGGCAUUUUUGUUGGGUUGGUUUUGGCCUUCCUUUAAAGGACGCUGCGCUGUGUUCUGGUGUGGAGUUCAGCUCCUUGCUGUUCACUUUGGUCUUCAUGUGGCUGGUUCUGAAGCCUCUUAGAGCAGGUCCAGCCCAGCCUUUCCUGCAGGAAGAGUCCAGCCCCACUCCCAGGACGGGCCCUGCUGGGUGGCUGCUGACAGCCCAGGAUCCUCCAGGACUCUCCCCCUGGCGGUCGGAACUCCUAUCUCCCACCUGUGAGUUCCAGGGGCUGGGGGUCCACAGUCCCCUAGGGUCCCACCCACGCUGAAGAGUCCACCUUCCACAUGCAUGGCGCCCGACUCCGGAGGCCUCAGAGACCCUCAGGCAGCCUUCUGGAGCUUUCUGUCUGUGCAGUUCCCUCCCUUCCGGAGCUCUGCCUGCCAGGUCCCUCUGCAGAUGCCUCCCUGAGCCCUGACCUCCUCCUCAGCCCCCAGGACUGCCCACCCUGCCUGGACGCCCACACCUGCUCGACCAUCCUGAAUGGGCCUCCACCCCAGGGCUGCGGUGACCCUGGUGCUGUAGCCUGCCUGCCCCUCCUGCUGGGGAUCUGGCUCCAUGGUGCCCUGGUGCUGAAAACAGUUCAUCCUGAGUUUCAGUCUUGAGCUUUCGUGGCAGGAGGGAAACUACUGGCUGUGUUACUCCUGUGGCUUCCUGUUCUGGCCAUCCUGCCAACUCUCCUGCAGGUGAGGGUGGGCGCGAUCCCCAAGGUCCUUUCCACCAGAUGCCACUGAGUCCCCCAGGGGCCUGGGCUGGACCUGAGAGGGUGUCACCUGGCUGAAGUCAGGACCAGGAAGGGCAGGGGGCAGGAAAGGAGAGGGGGCAGGGCGGGGUGGAGCAGGCAUGCUCGGAGGGGUGGUGUGGCCUCCAUCCUCAUGCAUGGCUGCAGGGUCAUUCCCCUCACCGCUUCUACCUCCAGAUGUGGGGAAAGGGGCCUCGUCCCGAGCAUUAAAUGAAUGUGUGGCUCAGAGGCCUGGUGAAGCUCCUGCCAGUGGGACCCGGGUCUGGCGGGUUCCCGGAGCAGGUGGAGAGGCUGGGCACCCGGAGCAGGUGGGGAGGGCUGUGCACAGCGGGUGUCACUGAUACUGGGAUUUCUCAGUGGACACAGUUGGGAAGUGUAGGUCAGAUGUAGAUCCGGGGUUUUUACUGGGCAAAUCUGACAUCAUUUGAGCAUCAGAAUCAACAGCAAUAGCCUCGGACGGAGCCACAGAGGUCAGGAGAGCCCACUGAGAGCUCAGCUGUUGGGAUAUGAAGGGGCGGCCAGGGCUCCUCUCUGGGUGGAGUGAACCCCCAGGCAUGAUGGGAGGAGGGCAGGGGUCCCCCAAACAGCCCAGCGGACUUCCUGGAACUCCUUGUUCAGCAAGAAACACCGGGAGGUGACAGUUUGAGGAGAAACAAGAUAUUUACAUCCUCCCACAGCAUCUCCCCAAAUACACUGUUUCAUGAC